AAAAAGAUAUAUAUCAAGAAUUAAUUCAAAAAAAUUCUAUUAUACAAAACACAAUUAGAACGAAACAUCCAACCAACACAACAAAAAAAGAAAUAACAUGUUAUAUGAAGUUUAUUAAAUAUAGGAUAAAAUGGAUAUUCAGUUGUUAUAGGUACACAUUUUAUUACAAAAGACAGAACACAAAUUGUUUUAUGAUUAUAAAGAAAAAACUACUUUCUAAUAAAUUUUAUAAAAAUGAGCACAAUUUAAUAAAUUUACAAACUUAUAGUAAUAAUAAAAAAAAUUUCAUUAAUGAAAAGGAUAGCUUUAUUAAUAAUACAUAUGUUACUACUAAAAAUGACAACAUAAAUAAAAACACGAUGGAUGUAAAAAGAUUUAUAUUAUUAUGGAAUGAUAAGUACGUUCAGUGUGUUAAAAGAAACCAAAACAAAAAUGUAAAAAAAAAAAAAAAUAUAUUACAUAUAACACAAUAUGAAAAAAAACAAGAUAUUCAUAAUGAGAACCAUGUUCAUGUAUAUGACAUCAAUAAUGAUAAUAGUAAUAAAAGCGAGUCCCAUAAUUAUUUAAAACUUAAAGAUGAUAAUCCCACUAAUUAUAAAACACAUAAAUCAGUUAUAGCAGAAUAUAACAAACACAAUAUAAAUAAUAGUAUAAGUAUUGCUAAUGAAAUAAAAUUAAAAGAUGAAGUUAUAGUGAAUAAUUUAAACAUACCUGAUAGCUUAAAUAAAGAAGAAAUGAGAAAGAACAUACUUAAAAAUAAAAAAAUUUUAGAUUAUAUACAAACCAACAGAAUAGAACAAAAAAUAUAUAUUAAUGAUUAUGUUGAUAAUAAAAUAACACAUGAAUUAAAUAUGUUAGUUAAAGAAUUUUUAAAAAAUAUAGCCAAAUCACAUGAAAAGUUAUUUUUAUUAAAAAAAAAAAAAAAAUAUUAUUUAGGAUUAAAAGAAAGUUAUAAACAUAUUUGUAUUAAUGAACCAAAGUUAGUAAUAAUUGCGCCGAAUAUUGAGCCAACGUUAAAUAACGUCUUUCAUGAUAUAAUAUAUAAAAUAAAAAAUAAAUGUAAAGAAAAAAAUAUUCCCUUGGUAAAUGCAUUAAGUAAAAAUUUGUUAGGGAAAUGCAUUGGAAAACCUAGACAAUCAAUUAUAUGUAUAAUGGAUAAUGAUUCUUAUAUAAAAGAAUGUAAUACUAUAAUUAAUUUGGCUAACUCUCUUAAAAUAAGUGAAUGACAUGUACUUUUUUUUUUUUUUUUUUAUUAGUUAGCUAACUAGUUAACUAUUUUUUUUUUCUUUUUUUUUUUACUAAUUAAUUAGCUAGUUUAUUAGUUUUUUUUUUAUUUAUUAACUAGUUAGUCGUCAUUUUUUUUUUUUAAGUUUAUUUGUUAUGACUUUUUUUUACUAAUUUAUUUGUUUAUUGA
rnacentral:lncRNA from 1 species